rnacentral:rRNA from 1 species
UACAGAGGGUGCGAGCGUUAAUCGGAAUUACUGGGCGUAAAGCGUGCGUAGACGGUUAUUUAAGUCGGGGGUGAAAGCCCCGGGCUCAACCUGGGAAUUGCAUUCGAGACUGAAUAGCUAGGGUACGGUAGAGGGAAGCGGAAUUUCCGGUGUAGCGGUGAAAUGCGUAGAUAUCGGAAGGAACAUCAGUGGCGAAAGCGGCUUCCUGGACCAGUACCGACGUUCAGGCACGAAAGCGUGGGGAGCAAACGGG